UGAUAUGACACUCAGCAAAGCAUGCGCUAAUGGAACCAGCGCCGUGACAACUACUUUUCUUUACUGAGAGCCGUGAUUGCUCUCGGCAAAGACUUUGCCGUGUGUCCAAUAAAAAUAUUCUCAGCAAAGAAUUCUUUGCCUGUGGAUUUUUUACCGAAGGUUCUUUGUCAAGUGCUGCCCUCGACAAAAACUUUGCCGAGGGCAAUGUAGCCUUUGCCUAGCCUUUGCCAAGUGCAUUAGACCCUCGGCAAAUUGCUUGAAUCCAGUAGUGAUACAUAAGAGAAUACUAGUAUAAUACCCAUGCUAACGCCACGAUUUUGUUUAGGGAUACACAUGAAAUUAACCAAAUAAUAUGUUUUUUGUAUAGUUCGCUUUUUACGCAGAGCAUGUAUACGGAAACACCUUUGCAAUAGAAGACACAAUAAAAUUAUUUCUGACAUUAACCAUCUAAGUUACAUUCUAUUUAAGUCCUUAAGCAUGUCUUAGAGAUCAUCAUGGAAGCUGUCAAAAUAUUUGUUUGUACGGUUCUUCAAAAUAUCCGCCAGCUACGUAUAAAAUUGGAAAUAUAUGUACUAUCCUCUAAAAUUAUUUUGAUUAAAUUGAUCUAUGGUUUCUUGAAAGACUAAAACGAUGGCAACCUCCGUAUAACCCUCAAUGCUCAUUUGACACAGAAGACUAAUAUGAUUGGGAGUAUGUGACAACCAAAUGUUGGAUCAAGAAUGAUCAGAUUAUUUGCAACCAACUACAGAUCGUCAUAUUGCUGCAACCUGCAUAAGAAUGAUGAGAUGAGAGUGGAUUAAAUUGAGAUAAAGCAUACUACGAUAGUGUGACCUAUUGUUAAGUAGCAGCAAGCUGUAUCUUUGAACUUUGUUAUACAACAAAGAAUUGGUGGCUCUUAACAUAGUUUGGAUAUUUUGUUGUCUCAAAAUAAAUAACGUCAU
rnacentral:lncRNA from 1 species